rnacentral:misc_RNA from 1 species
AACGCACAUUGCGCCCUUUGGCAUUCCGAAGGGCAUGCCUGUUCGAGCGUCAUUAUCACCCCUCAAGCCUCGUGCUUGGUGUUGGACGGCUUGGUCGAGUGAUAUCGGCCCCUCCUAAAGACAAUGACGGCGGCCUGUGGAUCCCCCGGUACACUGAGCUUUUUUCAAUGAGCACGUAUCGGAUGAGGGCGCCCAGGACACGGUCCCCCUUUUCCCUCUCACGGGAAAAUUUUUUCAAGGUUGACCUCGGAUCAGGUAGGAAUACGCGCUGAACUUAA